GCAUACCGGCUGUGUUAAAUUCACGCAUCGAACCGUUUCGUGCACAAGAACGCUUCGGUGAGUAAAAAUUUUGCUCAUAAUGUGAGUAACUGUUGGCAAACUCACAUUUUGUGUAAAUCAGCUUUUAGCGUUUGUUUACAAAACGUUUCGAAACGAAUGAAAUGUCAAAUUUCGAAACAAACUUUGAAAGUUUAUGUUUUUGUUUUUAUCUCGCGUUGUGGAUGCUGUUCCGGUGAAUUUUUCCUCAUGAAAUCCGCGCUCCUCCGGAUGGAACAAUUCCUUGGCAAUUUUGGAAGGUAACGUAAAGAAAGAAAGAGCGGAUGCGGUGUUUGCACAAGUUGCUUCUGUCAUGGGAACACGUCUGAUGGAUGUCCGGAAUUCAGUAAAUCUUCCUGGAACUGCUGUAGCUGUUCAAUUUACUGGCGUGACAUACGGUUAAUACAAAAAUACAAAGUAAUGCAUCAAAACGAAUAAAAACAUAAAUGAAUAAA